rnacentral:rRNA from 1 species
GACGAAGGGGGGCUAGCGUUUGUUCGGAAUUGACUGGGACGUAAAGCGCGUGUAGGCGGUUGCCCAAGUCGGGUGUGAAAGCCUUGAGCUCAACUCAAGAAAUGCACUCGGUACUGGGUGACUAGAGGACCGGAGAGGAUAGUGGAAUUCCCAGUGUAGUGGUGAAAUACGUAGAGAUUGGGAAGAACACCAGUGGCGAAGGCGGCUAUCUGGACGGUUUCUGACGCUAAGACGCGAAAGCGUGGGGAGCAAACAGG